AAAGGGAGACCUAAUUCCGGUAGGAGACGAAAAAAAAGUAGUCCCAACCAAGAAUCAAUCCCAAAAGGUCGGAGCGAGGCGAAAUUGGCUUUCAAACUAGGUUCUGGGUUCACACAAGACCUGAAUCAGGAACAAGGGCUAUUAGCUCAGGUGGUUAGAGCGCACCCCUGAUAAGGGUGAGGUCCCUGGUUCGAGUCCAGGAUGGCCCACCUGCACAGGUGGCAAAAACAAAGAAAAAAAGCUCCGAAUCAGCACCUUAUCUUACUUAUACAGUAAGAGAGAAUGCUGGCUCUGAGUUCAGAGUCCAGAGGAACCUUGAAAACUGCAUAGAGCUAGGUGAAAAAGCCAAAAAAGAAGACCGCAAG
rnacentral:tRNA from 1 species